rnacentral:rRNA from 1 species
GAUGAACGCUGGCGGCGUGCUUAACACAUGCAAGUCGAACGAAGCAUUUAAGACAGAUUACUUCGGUUUGAAGUCUUUUAUGACUGAGUGGCGGACGGGUGAGUAACGCGUGGGUAACCUGCCUCAUACAGGGGGAUAGCAGCUGGAAACGGCUGGUAAUACCGCAUAAGCGCACAGUACCACAUGGUACAGUGUGAAAAACUCCGGUGGUAUGAGAUGGACCCGCGUCUGAUUAGCUUGUUGGCGGGGUAACGGCCCACCAAGGCGACGAUCAGUAGCCGACCUGAGAGGGUGACCGGCCACAUUGGGACUGGGACACGGCCCAGACUCCUACGGGAGGCAGCAGUGGGGAAUAUUGCACAAUGGAGGAAACUCUGAUGCAGCGACGCCGCGUGAGUGAAGAAGUAGUUCGCUAUGUAAAGCUCUAUCAGCAGGGAAGAUAGUGACGGUACCUGACUAAGAAGCUCCGGCUAAAUACGUG